rnacentral:rRNA from 1 species
AGAGUUUGAUCAUGGCUCAGGACGAACGCUGGCGGCGUGCUUAACACAUGCAAGUCGAACGGAAAGGCCCUUUCGGGGGUACUCGAGUGGCGAACGGGUGAGUAACACGUGGGUGAUCUGCCCUGCACUCUGGGAUAAGCCUGGGAAACUGGGUCUAAUACCGGAUAGGACCAUGGGAUGCAUGUUCUGUGGUGGAAAGCUUUUGCGGUGUGGGAUGGGCCCGCGGCCUAUCAGCUUGUUGGUGGGGUGAUGGCCUACCAAGGCGACGACGGGUAGCCGGCCUGAGAGGGUGUCCGGCCACACUGGGACUGAGAUACGGCCCAGACUCCUACGGGAGGCAGCAGUGGGGAAUAUUGCACAAUGGGCGCAAGCCUGAUGCAGCGACGCCGCGUGGGGGAUGACGGCCUUCGGGUUGUAAACCUCUUUCAGUAUCGGCGAAGCUCCGUGGUUUUCUGCGGGGUGACGGUAGGUACAGAAGAAGCACCGGCCAACUACGUGCCAGCAGCCGCGGUAAUACGUAGGGUGCGAGCGUUGUCCGGAAUUACUGGGCGUAAAGAGCUCGUAGGUGGUUUGUCGCGUUGUCCGUGAAAACUCACAGCUCAACUGUGGGCGUGCGGGCGAUACGGGCAGACUGGAGUACUGUAGGGGAGACUGGAAUUCCUGGUGUAGCGGUGGAAUGCGCAGAUAUCAGGAGGAACACCGGUGGCGAAGGCGGGUCUCUGGGCAGUAACUGACGCUGAGGAGCGAAAGCGUGGGGAGCGAACAGGAUUAGAUACCCUGGUAGUCCACGCCGUAAACGGUGGGUACUAGGUGUGGGUUUCCUUCCUUUAGGGAUCCGUGCCGUAGCUAACGCAUUAAGUACCCCGCCUGGGGAGUACGGCCGCAAGGCUAAAACUCAAAGGAAUUGACGG